rnacentral:rRNA from 1 species
AUGCAAGUAGAACGCUGAAGAGAGGAGCUUGCUCUUCUUGGAUGAGUUGCGAACGGGUGAGUAACGCGUAGGUAACCUGCCUUGUAGCGGGGGAUAACUAUUGGAAACGAUAGCUAAUACCGCAUAACAGUCGACAUUGCAUGAUGUUGAUUUGAAAGGGGCAAAUGCUCCACUACCAGAUGGACCUGCGUUGUAUUAGCUAGUUGGUGAGGUAACGGCUCACCAAGGCGACGAUACAUAGCCGACCUGAGAGGGUGAUCGGCCACACUGGGACUGAGACACGGCCCAGACUCCUACGGGAGGCAGCAGUAGGGAAUCUUCGGCAAUGGACGGAAGUCUGACCGAGCAACGCCGCGUGAGUGAAGAAGGUUUUCGGAUCGUAAAGCUCUGUUGUAAGAGAAGAACGAGUGUGAGAGUGGAAAGUUCACACUGUGACGGUAACUUACCAGAAAGGGACGGCUAACUACGUGCCAGCAGCCGCGGUAAUACGUAGGUCCCGAGCGUUAUCCGGAUUUAUUGGGCGUAAAGCGAGCGCAGGCGGUUAGAUAAGUCUGAAGUUAAAGGCUGUGGCUUAACCAUAGUACGCUUUGGAAACUGUUUAACUUGAGUGCGGAAGGGGAGAGUGGAAUUCCAUGUGUAGCGGUGAAAUGCGUAGAUAUAUGGAGGAACACCGGUGGCGAAAGCGGCUCUCUGGUCUGUAACUGACGCUGAGGCUCGAAAGCGUGGGGAGCAAACANGGAUUAGAUACCCUGGUAGUCCACGCCGUAAACGAUGAGUGCUAGGUGUUGGGUCCUUUCCGGGACUCAGUGCCGCAGCUAACGCAUUAAGCACUCC